rnacentral:rRNA from 1 species
CCUGCCCACUGCAUUAAUUUAAUGGCCGCAGUAAUUUGACUGUGCAAAGGUAGCAUAAUCAUUAGUUUUUUAAUUAAAAGCUUGUAUGAAGGGUUGGACGAGGUAAAAUCUGUCUCUAUUUAAUUUAUUGUAGAAUUUAAUUUUUAAGUUAAAAAGCUUAAAUUUUGAAUAAAAGACGAGAAGACCCUAUAGAUCUUUAUAUUUUUAAAAUUAAUUUUAUUAAGGAUUAUUUGUUUUAUUAUUUUUGAGAAUAUUUUAUUGGGGUAAUAAAUAGAUUAAAUAAAUUCUUUUUUUUAAAAAAAUAUAGAUUUAUAGUUAUUUGAUCCAAUUAUUUUGAUUAUAAGAUUAAGUUACCUUAGGGAUAACAGCGUAAUUUUUUUAGAGAGUUCAUAUCGAUAAAAAAGUUUGCGACCUCGAUGUUGGAUUAAAAAUAAUUU